rnacentral:ncRNA from 2 species
ACUUAUUCUCAGGGCGGGGCGAAAUUCCCCACCGGCGGUAGGCCCCCAGGGGCAAGCCCGCGAGCGCCCGGCACAGCCGGGGUCAGCAGAUCUGGUCAGAGUCCAGAGCCGACGGUCAUAGUCCGGAUGGAAGAGGAUAAGG